UACGUAGGGGGCAAGCGUUGUCCGGAAUCAUUGGGCGUAAAGCGCGUGUAGGCGGCUCGAUAAGUCUGCUGUGAAAGUUCAGGGCUCAACCCUGAAAUGCCGGUGGAAACUGUCGAGCUAGAGUCCGGAAGAGGCGAGUGGAAUUCCUGGUGUAGCGGUGAAAUGCGUAGAGAUCGGGAGGAACACCAGAGGCGAAGGCGGCGACCUGGAACAGUACUGACACUCAACUACGAAAGCGUGGGUAGCAAACAGG
rnacentral:rRNA from 1 species